AGUGAACGCUGGCGGUAGGCCUAACACAUGCAAGUCGAACGGCAGCACAGGAGAGCUCGCUCUCUGGGUGGCGAGUGGCGGACGGGUGAGGAAUACAUCGGAAUCUACUCUGUCGGGGGGGAUAACGGAGGGCAACUUACGCUAAUACCGCAUACGAUCUACGGGUGAGAGCAGGGGCACUUCGGGCCUUGGGCGAUUGAAGGCGCCGGUGGCGGAUUAGCUAGUUGGCGGGGUAAAGGCACACCAAGGCGACGAUGCGUAGCCGGUCUGAGAGGAGGAUACGCCACACUGGAACUGAGACACGGUCCGGACUCCUACGGGAGGCAGCAGUGGGGAAUAUUGGACAAUGGGCGCAAGCCUGAUCCAGCCAUACCGCGUGGGUGAAGAAGGCCUUCGGGUUGUAAAGCCCUUUUGUUGGGAAAGAAAUCCAGCUGGCUAAUACCCGGUUGGGAUGACGGUACCCAAAGAAUAAGCACCGGCUAACUUCGUGCCAGCCGCCGCGGUAA
rnacentral:rRNA from 1 species